AAGUCGUAACAAGGUUUCCGUAGGUGAACCUGCGGAAGGAUCAUUAACACGUAUCCAUCGUGCUCUUGCAUCCUCCCAAUCAGCAAUCUCUGGUAAACACGUCGAACGGUUUAAUUCAGAGACCUCUGCGUUGUGGAUGACUGCUGACGCUAAAGGUGCAAUCGAGCGCUAGGAUCAGUGGUUUGGUUUCCCCUCAAACCACUUCAAUGAAUGACAGCGUCAUUGAAGUGUGAUGGGGAGGUCGCUUAACGCACGCUGUAGGCUCACACGAGCCGGCGUCCAAAUCACCGGGCGCAAGCCCCCCUAAAACCACAUGUCAGCGUAGGCCCUUCUGUCGUGGUUGGGCGUAAAAACGAACAACUGUUAACAAUGGAUAUCUUGGUUCUC
rnacentral:misc_RNA from 1 species